UGAGGAAUAUUGGUCAAUGGACGGAAGUCUGAACCAGCCAAGUAGCGUGCAGGAUGACGGCCCUAUGGGUUGUAAACUGCUUUUGUAUGGGGAUAAAGUUAGGGACGUGUCCCUAUUUGCAGGUACCAUACGAAUAAGGACCGGCUAAUUCCGUGCCAGCAGCCGCGGUAAUACGGUAGGUUCGGGCGUUAUCCGGAUUUAUUGGGUUUAAAGGGAGCGUAGGCCGUUUGGUAAGCGUGUUGUGAAAUGUAGGAGCUCAACUUCUAGAUUGCAGCGCGAACUGUCAGUCUUGAGUGCGCACAACGUAGGCGGAAUUCAUGGUGUAGCGGUGAAAUGCUUAGAUAUCAUGAAGAGCUCCGAUUGCGAAGGCAGCUUACGCGGGCGCAACUGACGCUGAAGCUCGAAGGUGCGGGUAUCGAACAGG
rnacentral:rRNA from 1 species